UACAGAGGUCUCAAGCGUUGUUCGGAUUCAUUGGGCGUAAAGGGUGCGUAGGCGGCGCGGUAAGUCGGGUGUGAAAUCUCGGAGCUUACUCCGAAACUGCAUUCGAUACUGCCGUGCUUGAGGACUGGAGAGGAGACUGGAAUUUACGGUGUAGCGGUGAAAUGCGUAGAUAUCGUAAGGAAGACCAGUGGCGAAGGCGGGUCUCUGGA
rnacentral:rRNA from 1 species